CUCGAACUCCUGACCUCAGGUGAUCCGCCUGCCUUGGCCUCCCAAAGUGCUGGGAUUAAAGGCGCGAGCCACCGUGCCCAGCCUACCUCUGCCUCCUCCUGCCCCCUCCCUAGCGUCUUUGCUGUUGUCUGCUAUGACCUUGUGAUUGGAGGAGUGGGUGGCUGUCUACUGAAAGUCCCUAAUGCUCCUCUCUCCUUUACUAGAGGAGGUCCUGACCGGGAUCCAGGGCCUCGGUACCAGCCAUUCCGCCUAACCCCGUAUGUGACCAAGAUCCGGGUCUCAGAUGGGGCCCCUGCACAGCCGUGCUGCCUGCUGAUUGCAGAGCGCAUCCAUUCGGGUUAUGAAGCUCCCCGGAUACCCCCUGACAAGAGGAUUUUCACUACGCGGCACACACCUAGCUGCCUCUUCCAGGAUGUGGAUGAAAGGUGAGGAUAGGACCUAGAGGAGACGAGGGCAGCCAGGGCUGAGGCCAUGGCCACUCUGAUGCCUCCUUCUGGUUCAGGGCUGCCCCCCUGCUGGGCUACCUGCCCCAGGACCUCCUGGGGGCCCCAGUGCUCCUGUUCCUGCAUCCUGAGGACCGACCCCUCAUGCUGGCUAUCCACAAGAAGAUCCUGCAGUUGGCGGGCCAGCCCUUUGACCACUCCCCUAUCCGCUUCUGUGCCCGCAACGGGGAGUAUGUCACCAUGGACACCAGCUGGGCUGGCUUUGUGCACCCCUGGAGCCGCAAGGUAGCCUUCGUGUUGGGCCGCCACAAAGUACGCACGGCCCCCCUGAAUGAGGACGUGUUCACUCCC
rnacentral:sRNA from 1 species